UUUGAGGAGAGGUUGGAGGACAUGUGACUGUCACUCCUCCACCGUGUUGUGGGAGUGACAGUCACAUGUCCUCCAACCUCACUUCAGG